GCUUAUGGCCACACCGCCUGGUUCACGGCUGAUCUCGUUUGAUCUCGGAAGCUAAGAUAGGGUGGGCAUGGUUAGUACUUGGAUGGGAGACCGCCUGGGAAUACCAGGUGUUGUAAGAU
rnacentral:rRNA from 1 species